rnacentral:rRNA from 1 species
GUCUGUAUGAAGUUAUAUAGAGUCUGACCUGCCCGUUGAAGAAAUUUGAAAGGCCGCGGUAUAUUAACUGUGCAAAGGUAGCAUAAUCAUUAGUUUUUUAAUUGAAGGCUUGUAUGAAUGGUCUGACAAAGGAAAAGCUGUCUUUAAUUUUAUUUUUGAAUUUAACUUUUAAGUGAAAAGGCUUAAAUAAUUUUAAGGGACGAUAAGACCCUAUAAAUCUUUAUAUUAUAAUAUUAUCUUUAAAUUUAAUAGUUUGUUUAAAUUUACAAGAAUAUAAUAAAUAUUUUGUUGGGGUGACGAGAAUAUAAUAAUAACUGUUCUAAAAGAAAACAAAGUUGUUUGUAAAUAUUUAAUAGAUCCUUUUUUAAAGAUUAAAAGUUUAAGUUACUUUAGGGAUAACAGCGUUAUUUUUUUUGAGAGUUCUUAUCGAAAAAAAAGUUUGCGACCUCGAUGUUGAAUUAAAAUUUCUUUACGGUGUAGAAGUUGUAUAAGAGAGUCUGUUCGACUUUUGAAAUUUU